GUGCCUGUAGCUCAAUUGGAUAGAGUAGUGGGCUUCGAACCCAUUGGUUGCAGAUUCAAAUUCUGCCAGGCACGCCA
rnacentral:tRNA from 1 species